CACCAAGGCAAUAAAUCGAGGGUGUGAGGGAUGUGCUGGUGGGGCCAGAAAGCGCUGCCCGCACUCUGGAAGCUUGCCACCCACCUGAGCCUGCAGGGCCCGGGGCGGCCCUGGGCCCACUCUUGACAGGGCCUCUCUCACAGUGGGUGGCCUCUCCUUGCCACUCUCCACCCGUCUCCUCCCUUCUUCCUCUCCCUGUCACCUUCUCAUACCAACUCCGGUGUGCACAGGCACAUGGGUCGUCCUGCUGCCCUCCUAGCUCGGAUGCUCCAACAGAGACCCUGCUCGUCCGUCUAUGCAUCCACCGUCCCAGGUGGGGACCACUCUGGUGCAAUAGCUGAGGUGGAUAUGCCCGGCACCCCACCUGCCUAUGUGAGCUCGCGCCCCAUGGAGGGCCUCCAUCCUCUGCUGCGGACUCCUGCUACCCCGCUCGGCUCACCCCACAGAAGCAUCCUGGCCCCCAUCAGAGGCAGGAAACUCCGAGUGAUUUUGUAACUUCUGUAACGACGGGCAGAUGGAAGGGCCGCUCUGCUGCCCGUAGAGACGGUUUCAAAGGGCGGCUCUGAGCGGGAGCUCGUUAUCCAUUUUUAUAGAAUUCCACAUCCUCUCGGAAUCUCGGGAUUACAAAACGGCCGCCGAGAAAUCGUGCGCCCCAUUAACAUCGAGACUUUUAUGUAUUUACAAUUCAGCUUAAAUUUUUACCAGGAGAGGGUUUCAGAUGCAACACAUGUGUUAGUCACUGCGUGAAUUGCGAAACCAAGGGAGUAUCUCCAAAGUGCUGGCCUUGACGGUGUAACCUGGCAAGGCUCGGGGACGAAUAAAAAUAACACGGCAUCAGGCAUCGCUGUGUCAAAGGAGCCCUCCCUGAGCCCAUAGGUAGUGGGUUUGCACGAGCAGGACGGCGGCUGGACACGUGGGAGCGGGCGCUGCGCCCCGGGAUCCGCCGGGCCCUGCCUCCGCCAUCCUUCUGCGCAGCACCGGCCGCCCCGCCGCGGGAUCCUGGGCCUGCAGAGGCGACCGGGGCACCUGCCACCUUCCCCCCCGCCUCGCCCCCGCCUCACCCCCUCGGGCGUCUGCUGACGGUCCAGCCGCAUCACACCCUCUCCCUGGACCGCCCCUGUCCACCGGGGGUGUCAGCUUUCCGGGGAGUACACACGGGUGACUUCUGACCCUCACGCCACCAGGGAGUGAGGGCUGGGAUGAUUCCCAUUCUGCAGAUGGCCAAACAGAGGCUUGGGAGUGGCUUGCUUGCCCCAGGUGACACCGGCAGUACAGACAAGAGUGGUGACCGUUUCUAGUCCGAACACCCCUCUUCUGCGUCCCUCCUCGGAGAUGCUGCGCCCACAUGGGGUGGGGCGUGUCCGUCACCACGACCCGGGACCUCCUGCAGCCGCCCCGACAAUGCCUGCUGGGGCCCUGGGGCACCGUCCCCCUCGGCUCCAUCGGGGCCUCCCCGUGGGCUUGGAUUAUGUGCCGUCUCCCCAAACCUCUCCUGCUCUCCGGCACUGCUUUUUCAACUGCUGGCACCUUGCUUGCCUAUCACAGCCGGGGACCCCAGGAGCACGGGAGCCCCAGGCUGGCGGCCCCGUGCCUCGGCCUGGCGAGCCGGGCAGUUGACGCUCAGCCUCGCCUGUUGACCGGCGACUUGUUCUUCCCUGAGGCCAGGUUCCACGUGUCUGGCCACAGGAGGUAGGUCUGCCACCAAAC